rnacentral:rRNA from 1 species
UACGUAGGGGGCAAGCGUUGUCCGGAAUCAUUGGGCGUAAAGAGCGUGUAGGCGGCCUGAUAAGUCGGCUGUGAAAGUCAAAGGGCUCAACCCUUGAAUGCCGGCCGAUACUGUCAGGCUAGAGUCCGGAAGAGGCGAGUGGAAUUCCUGGUGUAGCGGUGAAAUGACGCAGAUAUCAGGAGGAACACCGGUGGCGAAGGCGGGUCUCUGGGCCGAUACUGACGCUGAGGAGCGAAAGCGUGGGGAGCAAACAGG